rnacentral:snRNA from 1 species
AUCGCUUCUCGGCCUUUUGCUAAGAUCAAGUGUAGUAUCUGUUCUUAUCAGUUUAAUAUCUGAUACGUCCCCCAUCGGGGGACUACAUAUUAAAUGGAUUUUUCGAACAGGGAGUCGGAAAUGGGCUUGCUCCGUCCGCUCCACGCAUCGACCCGGUAUUGCAGUACCUCCGGAACGGUGCAACACUU